rnacentral:tRNA from 1 species
GAGGCUAUAGCUCAGUGGUAGAGUGCAUGCUUAGCAUGCAUGAGGUCCUAGGUUCAAUCCUCAUUACCUCC